rnacentral:rRNA from 1 species
GGGGCUUCGGCCCUGAGUAGAGUGGCGAACGGGUUGAGUAACGCGUGGGUGACCUACCCUCGAGUGGGGGAUAACGUUCCGAAAGGGACGCUAAUACCGCAUGACAUUCCGGGUUCGAAGACCUGGAAAUCAAAGCCGGGGACCGCAAGGCCUGGCGCUUGAGGAGGGGCCCGCGUCUGAUUAGCUAGUUGGCGGGGUAAUGGCCCACCAAGGCGACGAUCAGUAGCCGGCCUGAGAGGGCGGACGGCCACACUGGGACUGAGACACGGCCCAGACUCCUACGGGAGGCAGCAGUGGGGAAUUGUUCGCAAUGGGCGCAAGCCUGACGACGCAACGCCGCGUGGAGGAUGAAGGUCUUCGGAUUGUAAACUCCUGUUGAUCGGGACGAAAAGCUUCGACCUAACACGUCGAGGACUGACGGUACCGGUUGAGGAAGCCACGGCUAACUCUGUGCCAGCAGCCGCGGUAAUACAGAGGUGGCAAGCGUUGUUCGGAAUUACUGGGCGUAAAGGGCGCGUAGGCGGCCUUCUAAGUCGGACGUGAAAGCCCCAGGCUUAACCUGGGAACUGCGUCCGAUACUGGGAGGCUUGGAUUCGGGAGAGGGAUGUGGAAUUCCAGGUGUAGCGGUGAAAUGCGUAGAUAUCUGGAGGAACACCGGUGGCGAAGGCGGCAUCCUGGACCGAGAUCGACGCUGAGGCGCGAAAGCUAGGGGAGCAAACGGGAUUAGAUACCCCGGUAGUCCUAGCCCUAAACGAUGAGUGCUCGGUGUGGCGGGUAUCGAUCCCUGCCGUGCCGAANCUAACGCAUUAAGCACUCCGC